CAGCCAACACUAAUCACAUAGCAUUCACAAGAAACAACCACUUAAAAAUUAGGCUGGCAAUUUGGGUUGGGGUGACCUCGGAAUAAAAACCAACUCCCGAAGAAAAAAAAAUAAGACCUACAAGUCAAAAAUACUUUUCCCACUGAUCCGUUUAAUAACGAUCAACGAAACAAGUUACCCUAGGGAUAACAGCGCAAUCCUAUUUAAGAGUCCCUAUCGACAAUUAGGGUUUACGACCUCGAUGUUGGAUCAGGACAUCCCAAUGGUGCAAAAGCUAUUAAUGUGUUCGUUUGUUCAACGAUUAAAGUCCUACGUGAUCUGAGUUCAGACCGA
rnacentral:rRNA from 1 species